CGCCCGGCUAAUUUUUUUGUAUUUUUAGUAGAGACGGGGUUUCACCGUGUUAGCCAGGAUGGUCUCGAUCUCCUGACCUCAUGAUCCACCCAUCUCCACCUCCCAAAGUGCUGGGAUUACAGGCGUGAGCCACCGCGCCUGGCCUGUUAUCCUCUGUUUAUGGGUGGGAAAGCUGAGGCAGGAAGCCCUUUAGUCACUUGCCGAAGGCCACGCUGUUAACGGUCGGACCAGAUUUGGGUGGCGGAAGAGAACUCAUCCGACAGUAGGGCCAGAUUCACGCCCCAGCCCCGUUCCCUCCUCUCCCGGUGUCCUGGCCCCCCUGCAAGGUGACUUCACCUCCUACAUCAAGAGGCGGGUACUGGUCUCCACCUCUGGGCUCUGGGCCGGCCUCGGAUGCACUUGGCCAAUGGGCUGCUCCUAAGCUGCUGUGGGCAGAGGUUGGCACGACACUUGUGCGCUGGGCCUGGACCUCUCUUGCUUGGCUCUGGGGACUGUCCUCCCUGCAGGAGGCCUGGGCUGGGCUGCAGGAUGAGAGGCCAUGGGUCAGGAGAGGCUUCUGUCGUCCCAGCCGGUCCCCAGCUGCCUAAAGAUGGGUGGACAAGCCCAGCGAGGCCCCCAGAGAACCGGCCCAUACGUUAGCCAAGUUGCCGGCCAUGUACCAUCGAGCCCCGGGCUGUCAUGGUGGUUUUGCCACUGAGUUUUGGAGUGUGCUGUGACGUGGGAGGAGACAUUGAGAGGCCUCACAAGCCUAGAAGCGUCUUACCCUGACCUCACACCUGCUGGACUUCGGGCUGGGAAGAGAACUGGGGCCGAGGGCGUUUUCCCACAGGACUGGAAGGCCGGUCGUGGUCCUUGGUGGUGAGAGCUGGCCAGGCUGCCAGCCUUCUCCCCGGAAGCCUGCAGGGUCCCCUCUGAUCCCUGCGCCUCUGGGGGUCACACCAACUGUGGGUCUUUCCUUCCUCACCACGCUGGGCACUUGGUGAGCACAUUCUGCCUUGAGACGGGGCAUUUCUUUGAUAACAUUUCUUCUCAUUUCCUGCUUGUUCUGGAACUCCUGUCAGUCAAAUGUUGGGCCUUUUGAAUUGAUCCUGUGAGUCCUUCUUUCUACCUUUGCUUGUAGAUAGACUUCCCUGAACCCAAACACAAACACUUUCUCUCUGCUUUUUAAAAAAUUGGUUUUGGGGCCGGACGUAGUGGCUCACGCCUGUAGUCGCAGCACUUUGGGAGGCCAAGGCAGGCAGAUCACUUGAGGUCAGGAGUUCUAGACCAGCCUAGCCAACAUGGUGAAACCCCGUCUCUACUAAAAGUACAAAAAUUUGCUGGACGUGGUGGUGUGCGGAUGUAAUCCCAGCUACUCGGGAGGCGAAUCUUUUGCUUUCUGCAUUUUCUCUCUUGCGGUUCUUUUUUGUUUGUUUAGUCUUGGAGCUUCACAUGAGACUCAGUGCUCAAAUGUCUGGCUUUUCUUUCUUUUCAAUCCCUGUUUAUAGGGGAGACAGGCAGAGCUGCCGGGCACUCCUCUUUCCUUGUUAACUUGAGGAAGCCGGACAGCCAGGUCUUGGAAGGGAGGCCUCCUGCCUCCAGGCGGCAUCUCGGGCUGCAGGGCUGUGGUCUGGAGUGCGGACAGUACCAGCUCCCACUGCUGUCCUGCCAUGCUUGUUCGCAGUACUCGUCUCCUCACACCAGUGACGAGGCCACUGCUUGCCAGCCGCUUGCCUUCUUCCCGCCAGGCUGUCCUGCUACGUCAGCCUCCGCUCUCCACCUCAAGAAGUGUCUCGAAAUAUCUUCUCUGCAGAUGACCUCUCUCCUGUUCUCAGUGCCACGUGGGGCCUCCCCAGCAGAGGCGGCUGGACACCUGGCCCUGGCUGCUGGAGGUUGUUUAGCUGCCAGAGGGUGGCGGUAGCCUCCAGGACCCUCCCCUGGCCUCUGCCCUGUUCAUCCUUUGCCGGAAUGUCAUGGGUUUCAGGAUGUGCUGAGCUCCGAAACCCCAUGGGGCAACUUGGGAUGGGGGCUAAGGAAGGCCUCUUGGAGGAGCCCUGAGGCGAGGUGGCCCUGGGGUGGGGUGGAGGAGGCCCUGAGCAGCAGGGGAGGGGGUUGCACCCUGCUCUCUGUGUCCCUGAGUGAAUGGGGCAGGGGCUGCACCCUGCUCUCUGCGUCUCUGAGUGAGUGGGGCGGGGGCUGCACCCUGCUCUGUGUGUCCCUGAGUGAGUGGGGCAGGGGCUGCCCCCUGCUCUCUGCAUCUCUGAGUGGGAUGGGGGCUGCCCCCUGCUCUCUGCGUCCCUGAGUGAGUGGGGCGGGGGCUGCCCCCUGCUCUCUGUGUCCCUGAGUGGGGUGGGGGCUGCCCUCUGCUCUCUGUGUCCUUGAGUGAGUGGGGUGGGAGCUGCACCCUGCUCUCUGUGUCCCUGAAUGAGUGGGGUGGGGGCUGCACCUGCUCUGUGUGUCCCCAGCCUGCUAAGUGCCCCACAGGGGCCAGGAUGCUGAGGAGUGAGAGGUCUUCACAGAGACAGGUGGCUCCUGUAAUAAGGAAGACAACACUGGCUUCCUGGGCGAACAGCAGGGCGGGGUCCUUAGGUCCCACUGUAGGUGCCCAGGCCCGGAUGAGAUUCCCCAGUGGCCCUGAGGGGGCGCCCGGGACACCCUGGAUGGCCCAGUGUCCUCCCGUCACCCUCGCCCCUGGGCACCAUCCUCCUUGGCCUGGAAACCCCAAGCUCCCUGACGCCCCCGCCCCUCUCCCCGGGCCUGUGCCGGGGAAGGAUACUGCUGCUCCGUCAGUCAGCCAUAGAGCCCCUCCUCCCCCAGCCCCUCUCACCCCUCCCUGUGGUCCUUGCCAAUCGCCCUGAGCCCGAAAAGGUGGGAGAUUCUUGGAGAGAUGGGGCCCUGGAUCCCCGGCCCUGGAUCCCCAUCCCUGGGGUCCCCCACUCACGGGGUCAGAUACGCUAACAAAGGCCAAGCGCCCUGCCAAGCGGUGUCCUGGAUUGGGGUGGGCGUGGGGGUUCGCCUCAGGUCCAGGCUCCGGGAUGUCGUGCAGGACAGGGCGCGGUUGCGGCGGGGGCACUGGCUGGAAGCCGGAACUCCCGGCCUCGAGGGCGGAAAGUGUGGCCAGCGCAGCGUGCUGGGGGGGCCAUGGCCCCGUUGCCAGGCAGCGCCUCCCUGGACGCCAGUUGCCAUGGAAGCCGC
rnacentral:lncRNA from 1 species